AGGAUAAUAGUUAACUAUAACAUUUAAUUUGCAUUUAAAAAGUACUAAUCAUUAGUUUAUCUUA
rnacentral:tRNA from 1 species